CCUGAAACAUUGGUUUAUAGGGUUUUCCUCUUCCCCAUCUGAGAGAGAGACCUCAAGCGCGCCGCACGUACCCUGGAAGACUCUGCUGCGAUCUUUCCGUGCACCAGAUCAGAUGGAUUCAGUUGCAGUUGACCAAUCAUCCGUUAAGAAACAGAAGAAGCAUAAGGAAGGCCUAUCAGGCUACUUCUUUUGCAAGGGUGAAGGUCAUAUGAAGGAGGAUUGUACUGAGUAUCACGCAUGGCAUGAAAUGGAGGGUACACUUCUCACUUUGGUUUGUUUUGAGGUUAAUUUAACUUCAGUACCCAGAAACACUUCGUGGGUAGAUUCGGUGUUACUACUCACAUAGUGUCUAUGCAAGGCUGCCUAAAUUGUCGAACGCCAAAUGAUGCUGAAAGAUUCAUCUAUGUGGGCGAUGACAAGAAGGUGAAGGUUGAAGCCAUAGCAGAUUUUUUGUUAUUGUUAAAGACUUGUUGUUAUUUGAAUUUGACAGAAACUUAUGUGGUACCGUCUUUUAGAUGGAAUUUGGUUCCUAUUUCCUCAUUGAACAAGUUUGGUUAUUAUUGUUCAUUUGAAGGAAGUAAAUUUAAGUUGUUUUUGCACUUAAA